UGAACCAGUGGGAGGGAUCAUUG
rnacentral:rRNA from 1 species